rnacentral:rRNA from 1 species
AGCUGGCCUUUUACGAGGCAUGUGCACGCCCUGCUCAUCCACUCUUAACCUCUGUGCACUUAUUGUAGGUCGGUGAAAGGCUUGUUGCUUUUAUUAGUGCAAGCUGGAAGCCUUCCUAUGUUACACUACAAACGCUUCAGUUAUAGAAUGUUUUAUUGCGUAUAACGCAUUUAUAUACAACUUUCAGCAACGGAUCUCUUGGCUCUCGCAUCGAUGAAGAACGCAGCGAAAUGCGAUAAGUAAUGUGAAUUGCAGAAUUCAGUGAAUCAUCGAAUCUUUGAACGCACCUUGCGCUCCCUGGUAUUCCGGGGAGCACGCCCGUUUGAGUGUCAUGGUAUUCUCAACCUUCAUAACUUUUGUUAUCGAAGGCUUGGACUUGGAGGUCGUGCUGGCUCUCGUUGGUCAGCUCCUCUGAAAUGCAUUAGCGUGAACGUUUACGGAUCGCUAUCAGUGUGAUAAUUAUCUGCGCUGUUAGUGUUGAAGUAUGUUUAGUGUCGCGCUUCUAAUCGUCCUUCAGUUGGACAAUUUAUCUGACAUCUGGCCUCAAAUCGGGCGGGACUACCCGCUGAACUUAAGCAUAUCAAUAAGCGGAGGAAAAGAAACUAACAAGGAUUCCCCUAGUAACUGCGAGUGAAGCGGGAAAAGCUCAAAUUUAAAAUCUGGCAGUCUUUGAUUGUCCGAGUUGUAGUCUGGAGAAGCGUCUUCCGCGCUGGACCGUGUACAAGUCUCCUGGAACGGAGCGUCAUAGAGGGUGAGAAUCCCGUCUUUGACACGGACUACCAGUGCUCUGUGAUGCGCUCUCAAAGAGUCGAGUUGUUUGGGAAUGCAGCUCAAAA